rnacentral:rRNA from 1 species
AAGUCGUAACAAGGUUUCCGUAGGUGAACCUGCGGAAGGAUCAUUAUCGAAUAAACUUGAACAGGUUGUUGCUGGCCCUCCACCCCGAGGGUAUGUGCACGCUUGUCAUCUUUAUCUCUCCAACUGUGCACAUAUUGUAGACCUGGAAUUGUUUUUGCUGAUUCACCUCGAGUUGGGAUUGCUGUGCUUCUCCUGUUUGAAGUCGGCUUUCCCUUUUCAUUUCCAGGUCUAUGUCAUUUUCACACACCUUUGAAUGUGAUUAGAAUGUUGAAUCAAUAAACAUACAACUUUCAGCAACGGAUCUCUUGGCUCUCGCAUCGAUGAAGAACGCAGCGAAAUGCGAUAAGUAAUGUGAAUUGCAGAAUUCAGUGAAUCAUCGAAUCUUUGAACGCAUCUUGCGCUCCUUGGUAUUCCGAGGAGCAUGCCUGUUUGAGUGUCAUUUAAGUUUCUCAACCACAUCAAAUUUGAUGAGGCUUGGAUGUGGGGGUCUUUCUUGCAGGCAUCUUUCGAAGUCUGCUCCCCUAAAAUGCAUUAGUGGUAUCUGCUGCUGCUAUAGGUGUGAUAAUUAUCUAUGUCUUUAGUAUGCUGUGAAACAGAUUGCGCUGCUUCUAACAAGUGAAGAUCUUCUUUUUGAUAAGAAGGCCACAUUUGACGAAUUUGACCUCAAAUCAGGUAGGACUACCCGCUGAACUUAAGCAUAUCAUAGCGGAGGAAAAGAAACUAACAAGGAUUCCCCUAGUACUGCGAGUGAAGCGGGAAAAGCUCAAAUUUAAAAUCUGGCAGUUCUUGACUGUCCGAAUUGUAAUCUAGAGAAGUGUUACCUGUGCUGGACCGUGUACAAGUCUCCUGGAAUGGAGCAUCACAGAGGGUGAGAAUCCCGUCUUUGACACGGACUGCCUGUACGUUAUGGUGCGCUCUCGAAGAGUCGAGUUGUUUGGGAAUGCAGCUCAAAAUGGGUGGUAAAUGCCAUCUAAAGCUAAAUAUUGGCGAGAGACCGAUAGCGAACAAGUACCGUGAGGGAAAGAUGAAAAGAACUUUGGAAAGAGAGUUAAACAGUACGUGAAAUUGCUGAAAGGGAAACGCUUGAAGUCAGUCGCGUUGGCUAGAAAUCAACCUUUGCUUCUGCUUGGUGUACUUUCUGGUCGACGGGUCAGCAUCAAUUUUGACCAUUGGAUAAAGUCUUUGGGAAUGUGGCAUCUUUGGAUGUGUUAUAGCCCAUUGUCGCAUACGGUGGUUGGGAUUGAGGAACUCAGCACGCCGCAAGGCCGGGUUUCGACCACGUUCGUGCUUAGGAUGCUGGCAUAAUGGCUUUAAUCGACC